UACGUAGGGUGCGAGCGUUAAUCGGAAUUACUGGGCGUAAAGCGUGCGUAGGCGGUUCGUUAAGUCAGCUGUGAAAGCCCCGGGCUCAACCUGGGAACUGCGGUUGAAACUGGCGAACUAGAAUCUGGCAGAGGGGGGUGGAAUUCCACGUGUAGCAGUGAAAUGCGUAGAGAUGUGGAGGAACACCGAUGGCGAAGGCAGCCCCCUGGGCUGAGAUUGACGCUCAGGCACGAAAGCGUGGGGAGCAGACAGG
rnacentral:rRNA from 1 species